CGCACAUGCGCGCGCAUGCGUGCGCAUGCGUGCACACGCACACCCACACAGGCACCCGUGUAAAACUGCCACAGUGAAAGUCAUUUCUCUGUAUAUCAACUAGAAACUCAACAGAAAUUAGAGCAACAGAAUCCCCGCCAAAAUUAUCCCUAACAACGUUUUAUUCCAGGACUGCUAACGGUUUUCCCCGAGUAAUGAGCCACACGAAAGCGUAGGACUAGAGGGAGCCUGUGAAGUCACAAUUACUCCCCCACUGAAAGCCACUUAAAGCUCUCCCUAUUUCUGGUUCUAUAUGAAGUGCUGCCGUGAGCAUCCUUGUGCAUUUGUCUUCGAGUGUGUCCGAGGAGUAGAAUUCAAGGUGUGGCCAAGGCCCUGGAAGAGGAGAUGAGUAAGAUAAUCGGAAUUCAUGAUCAUCAUAAACCACUCCUUUGAAAAACAGAAGACUUAAAGGUGGGAGUAUGGAGUGAUGCUCCCUGGAACAGUGACGUCGACAGGCUUAGAGAAAUGGAAUGGCGCCCUGUCACCAAACUGCCUUCUACUGGGACUCUCUGGUUCACCAUCUCUUGAUCAUCACACUGAGAACCAAACGUACUUAGGGGAACAAACUCAACCCCUAGCAGCCAGUUUAUCCUCAUCGUCUCCUUCUGACAGGUACUGUGAAGAGGGGGGAGGAAAAGGAGGGAGGGAGAGAAGGAGGGACAGAGAGAGGGAGGGAGGGGGAAGGAAAGGAAUAUUUUUAUUUUUCAGCAUUAAGAAGCAGCAACUUGGAAAGGAAACUGAGCUGUGGUUCACAUGGUUAUUUGUUCUAGAAGCCUCUGGAAGCCACACUCCACGUCCAGUCCUGUCUUGGUGUUUGUGUUUUCUCAAGGAGUCUGGAGUGUGGUUGCUUGUUUAGUUUAGAGAUGAAAUCUUACCGUGUGUCCCAGGUUGGUCUAUUUCCAUCGUAUAAUCCUCCU
rnacentral:lncRNA from 1 species